UACAGAGGUCCCGAGCGUUGUUCGGAUUCAUUGGGCGUAAAGGGUGCGUAGGUGGCGCUGUAAGUGGGGUGUGAAAUCCCGGGGCUUAACUCCGGAACUGCAUUCCAUACUGCGGUGCUUGAGGACUGGAGAGGAGACUGGAAUUUACGGUGUAGCAGUGAAAUGCGUAGAGAUCGUAAGGAAGACCAGUGGCGAAGGCGGGUCACUGGACUGGUAUUGACGCUGAGGUGCGAAAGCGUGGGGAGCAAACAGG
rnacentral:rRNA from 1 species